UUCACCUCGCACCUCUCACCCUAAAUAAAUUAUCCCUACAUAUAUAUAUAUACAAGUUUCACAAUAAAAUUUAGCAGAUUUUGCUGGUUCAGAAAGAGCAGGUCAAGCAGUUACUAUUGGAGAACGUUUUAAAGAAGGUCGACUUAUCAAUUUGUCUCUUUCUGCAUUCGGAUUCGUAAUAAAGUAAUUAAGUGAAUCCCAAGACACACAAAAAUAUGUUAACUUUCGAGAUAGCAAAUUAACGAGAUUGCUACAAAAUUCAAUUGGUGGAAAUGCUAAGACAGCAAUAAUAUGCACUAUAACACCUGCUGCAUUAAAAGAAUCACAAUAUACGUUAUCAUUUGCGUCGCGUGCCAAGAGGAUAGAAAAUAAACCACAGGUUAAUGAAGUUAUGUCUGAUGCGACACUUUUAAAAUGUUAUGUCAAACAAAUAUCCAAACUCAAUUGUGAACUAGAGAAAAUUAAAAAAGAAAAAACUGAAGAAAUGGAAAACAGAUUGCAUGAGAAAGAUCGUAUUAAUCAACUUUUGGAAGAACGAAUUGAAUUAUUAACAAGCAAAAUUGUAUCUAGGAAUAAUGCAAAUAACGAAGACUCGUUUGGAUGUAAAUCUAAAAGAAGACGAACUUGGGCAGGACCAACAUGUAAACAAAAUGUUUAAUUUUGUUCAAAUUUUCAACCGUGUCAAGGUAUGCUUAAGAUCAAAGAAAUGUCACCGGUAAAACCUUGUAGAAAAAGUAUUAUUCAAAGUGUUGAUUUAAUGGAUUAUCAAACAUUUCAAAUAGCUUUUACGGAUUUUGAAUUAGAAUUAAUUAAUGAUGAAAAGGAUAGAGAAGAUGAUGAUUCCAUCGAUAGCUUCAAAGAAAUGUAUAUUAGAAAAAAUAGACAUCAACAUCGUGUAACAUUCAAGGACGAUCUAAGCAUUUAUAAACCUAAUAUAUAAUAUUUAUGAGAGUACACGUAUAAAGAAAGAUACACCUAUAAAGAGAUAUACACCAUCUCAGCUAAACGAUAUUCAAGAAGAUCAAUCUCUURCACCGAAAAAAGUUUUACCUGAAAGACUAUCAUAUCUACAACAAGAAUGUGAUAAACUUUGUGAAUUUACAACAUUACAAAAACAAUUGUAUAUUGAGAAUCAUCAAUGUAAUUCCGUUGUAAGUAGAAUUUCCUUAAAACUUUUAUUUUAUUAUUUUGUUUACAUUAAAUAUACAAAUUUCUCUAUUAUAGGAUGAAAAACAAGUCGAGAUAGAUAGGGGAAAAUUCAGAUUUGCAAAAAGAAAUAAUUAAUGUUACUAGAGAAAAUAAUUUAUAAAAAAAUAUAUUAUUAGAAGUAUUAAAAUAUGCCACAAGUCCUAUCAAUAUAGAUGCAGAAAGCAUAGAAAUGGAUUUAUUGGAUGACACAUCACAAAUUCCAAAUGAAACAAUUUUGGAUAUACCUUUUAAAGAUAUUGAAGUUAAACACGUAAUUAAUAAGUUGCAAAAUAAAAUAAUGACAAGUAUAAAACAACAUCAGAUAAAAAAUUUGGAAAAAAUUUCUUAAAUCUACUAAUAAUACCUCAUCAUCAUAACCUCUUAUUACAAAAAUCAUUGCUCAUAACAUUUAGUCAUUAUAUAAAAAUAGUCAUUUACAAUAAUACUUUCAUAUAUACACAUA